rnacentral:rRNA from 1 species
GAGUUUGAUCGUGGCUCAGAUUGAACGCUGGCGGCAUGCCUUACACAUGCAAGGUCGAACGGCAGCACGGGAGCUUGCUCCUGGUGGCGAGUGGCGAACGGGUGAGUAAUGCAUCGGAACGUAUCCUGGAGUGGGGGAUAACGUAGCGAAAGUUACGCUAAUACCGCAUAUUCUGUGAGCAGGAAAGCGGGGGACCUUCGGGCCUUCGCGCUCUUGGAGCGGCCGAUGUCGGAUUAGCUAGUUGGUGAGGUAAAGGCUCACCAAGGCGACGAUCCGUAGCAGGUCUGAGAGGAUGAUCUGCCACACUGGAACUGAGACACGGUCCAGACUCCUACGGGAGGCAGCAGUGGGGAAUUUUGGACAAUGGGGGCAACCCUGAUCCAGCCAUGCCGCGUGAGUGAAGAAGGCCUC